rnacentral:rRNA from 1 species
GAUGAACGCUAGCGAUAGGCUUAACACAUGCAAGUCGAGGGGCAGCACAAGGUAGCUUGCUAUCUGGGUGGCGACCGGCGCACGGGUGCGUAACGCGUAUGCAACUUGCCCUAUACAGGAGGAUAACCCGUCGAAAGACGGACUAAUACUGCGUAUGCUCACAACUUGGCAUCAAGUGGUGAGGAAAGAAAUUCGGUAUAGGAUAGGCAUGCGUCCCAUUAGCUUGUUGGUGAGGUAACGGCUCACCAAGGCAACGAUGGGUAGGGGAACUGAGAGGUUUAUCCCCCACACUGGUACUGAGACACGGACCAGACUCCUACGGGAGGCAGCAGUGAGGAAUAUGGGUCAAUGGGCGCGAGCCUGAACCAGCCAAGUCGCGUGAAGGAUGACUGUCUUAUGGAUUGUAAACUUCUUUUAGACGGGAAUAACAAGAGUCACGUGUGACUCCCUGCAUGUACCGUAUGAAUAAGCAUCGGCUAACUCCGUG